GACGAACGCUAGCGGCGUGCUUAACACAUGCCAGUCGAACGGAAAGGCCUGCUUUCCCUUGUGGAUUGCGGGUACUCGAGUGGCGAACGGGUGAGUAACACGUGAGUGAUCUGCCCCCAACUUGGGUAUAAGCCUGGGAAACUGGGUCUAAUUCCCGAUAGGACUGCAGGGUGGUGCCUGUGGUGGAAAACGAUUUUCUAGUGGUUGGGGAUGAGCUCGCGGCCUAUCAGCUUGUUGGUGGGGUAAUGGCCUACCAAGGCGGCAACGGGUAGCCGGCCUGAGAGGGUGGACGGCCACAUUGGGACUGAGAUACGGCCCAGACUCCUACGGGAGGCAGCAGUGGGGAAUAUUGCACAAUGGGCGGAAGCCUGAUGCAGCGACGCCGCGUGGGGGAUGACGGCCUUCGGGUUGUAAACUCCUUUCGACCGCGAGGAAGCCACCUGGUUGGAAGGGUGGUGACGGUAGUGGUAGAAGAAGCACCGGCUAACUACGUG
rnacentral:rRNA from 1 species